UAAUUUUCCUAAGUAUUUUAUUUUCAUCUGUCUCUCAUCUACUUAAGGAAGCAGGAAUGAAAGACACCGAUUUAGGUUGAGAAAUAAUUUUUAAAAA